rnacentral:lncRNA from 1 species
CACCACAUCAUAGCAGGAGUACGUGUAUGAGGAAGACCUUACAUCAAAAAGCACAAAAGCAGCAGUGCAUGGUGGUGCAUGCCUGUAAUCCCAGCAGCUUGGGAGGCUGAGGCAGAAGGAUCACAAGGUGGAGGCUAGCCUCAACAAUUUAGCAAGACCCUAUCUCAAGAUAAAAGAAAAAUAAAAAGAUCUGGGAGUGUAGUUCAAUGGUAGAGCACCCCAGGGUUAAUCCCUAGUUCUCCACAAUAGGAAAUGAAGACAGAGAGAGACCUAUAAUCCCUUCAGAGGUGAUACCUCCAGCAGACCUAAGGACUUCCCACUAAACAUCACCUCCCAGUAGUACCGCCCUAAGGACCAGGCCUCCAACACAUGAACCCUUAACCAUAUCCAAAUCACAGCUGUGAGUCACAAGAAGGUGUCCUCGUAGAGAAAACGCAGCCUGGAGUUACAAUAUUUGGAUUUUCCCCUAGCUCAGUCAUGUGUUGAACUGAGGUCUUAGGCAAAUCACUUAUCUCGAAACUUGGGACUUUGGUUUCUUUCAAGUGAGGACAUUGAAGCAGCUCUCUGAAGUUAAACACAUUAGGAAUCUCAGUGCUAUGGUAUGUAAAGGAUGAUUUCAAGAAAUAGGACUGCUGAGGAAAGACUUCCCAAAAGGGGCCAGUUUGUAAAGUGAUAAAUGGGAUCAUUACAGCGAAGUUAACUAGAAAUAAGGCACAGAGUUGAGAGCAAGGGUCAUGGAG